rnacentral:rRNA from 1 species
AUUGAACGCUGGCGGCAGGCUUAACACAUGCAAGUCGAACGAGUGGCGGACGGGUGAGUAAUGCUUGGGAAUCUAGCUUAUGGAGGGGGAUAACUACGGGAAACUGUAGCUAAUACCGCGUACCAUAGGAUGAGCCCAAGUGGGAUUAGGUAGUUGGUGCGGUAAAGGCUCACCAAGCCGACGAUCUCUAGCUGGUCUGAGAGGAUGACCAGCCACACUGGGACUAAGACACGGCCCAGACUCCUACGGGACGCAGCAGUGGGGAAUAUGGGGAAGGGGGGGAAACAGGCCGCAGCACUGCCGCGUAAAUGAAGAAGGCCUUCGGGUUGUAAAGUUCUUUCGGUAGCGAGGCGUUAACUACAGAAGAAGCACCGGCUAACUCCGUGCCAGCAGCCGCGGUAAUUC